CCUACGGGAGGCAGCAGUGGGGAAUAUUGCACAAUGGUCGAAACCCUGAUGCAGCGACGCCGCGUGAAUGAAGAAGGACUUCGUUAUGUAAAGCUCUAUCAGCAGGGAAGAAAAUGACGGUACCUGAGUAAGAAUCCCCGGCGAACUACGUGCCAGCAGCCGCGGUACUACGUCGGGGGCAAGCGUUAUCCGGAUUUACUGGGUGUAAAGGGGGCGUAGACGGCAGUGCAAGUCAGGAGUGAAAGGCGGGGGCUCAACCCCCGGACUGCUAUGGAAACUGUACGGCUGGAGUACAGGAGAGGUAAGUGGAAUUCCUGGUGUAGCGGUGAAAUGCGUAGAUAUUAGGAGGAACACCAGUGGCGAAGGCGGCUUACUGGACUGUAACUGACGUUGAGGCUCGAAAGCGUGGGGAGCAAACAGGAUUAGAUACCCGUGUAGUC
rnacentral:rRNA from 1 species